GCUUGGCGCGGGUAAAUGAUAUCUGCAAGCCUCAUGCAAUUACUUGGAGCGGGUAAAUGUUUUUAUUUUUUGAUUCUUGCCAUUUCCAUGCAUUGCAAGUGGCUCAAAAUAUGUGGAUUCAGUUGCAUUGUUGAAUAUCCACAUAGACUGACCAUGGCUUCCAUCUGCUUUAGAUCAAUAAAAACCAAUUCUCCUUUCCUGUCCCCAUCUGCCUUUUUCACCAAGAAAAAUGGUAGAUUUUUCUGUACCAUGAAAAGCCCACAAACCCAAACAAAAACACAUGAGAAAAACCAACAAACAAAGAUCAAACCACAUGAUGAAAACCCACAAACCAAAACCAAAACGCUACAUGAAUAUGAAGCAAUCAUCGGUAUAGAGACCCACGUCCAGCUCUCCACUAUCACCAAGGCCUUUUGCAGUUGUCCAUACCACUAUGGUUCACAACCCAACACCGGCAUCUGCCCCAUUUGCAUGGGACUACCUGGUGCCCUACCGGUCUUGAACUCCAAGGUCAUUGAGUUUGCUGUGAAAUUGGGUCUUGCGCUGAACUGCAACUUGUCUCUGAAAUCCAAGUUUGAUAGGAAACAGUACUUCUAUCCCGACCUCCCAAAGGGCUACCAGAUAUCGCAGUUCGAUAUCCCUAUAGCAACUGGAGGUUUCAUCGAUUUGGAUCUUCCAGUCGAGUUUGGCGGUGGGCAUAGGAGGUUUGGUAUAACCAGGGUACAUAUGGAAGAAGAUGCAGGAAAGUUGCUUCACUCAGGAAGUGAGAGUUACUCAGAGGUGGACUUGAAUAGAGCAGGCGUGCCUUUGCUUGAGGUCGUUUCUGAGCCUGACAUGAGAAGUGGUCUUGAGGCUGCAGAGUAUGCAGCUGAGAUACAAAGGUUGGUUCGAUAUCUGGGAGUGAGUAAUGGCAAUAUGCAGGAAGGUUCCCUUCGUUGUGAUGUAAAUGUUUCGGUCCGACCAGUUGGGCAGUCAAAGUUUGGGACAAAGGUUGAGAUAAAGAAUAUGAAUUCGUUCUCCGCAAUGCAUAGAGCAAUUGAUUUCGAGAUCUCAAGGCAGGUUGUUCUCCACAGUCAAGGCGAAGGUGAUCAAAUUAUUCAAGAAACUCGACUUUGGGAUGAUGGUUCUCAGAAAACAUUUACAAUGAGGAAAAAGGAAGGGCUAGCUGAUUAUCGAUAUUUUCCAGAACCGGACCUUCCAGAAGUGGUCCUUUCAAACGAAUUUGUCGAGGGUAUACAUUCUUCUUUACCGGAGCUUCCAGAGAUGAAGCGCAGACGAUACGAGAAAAUGGGGCUUAGCAUGCAGGAUGUUCUCUUUAUUGCCAAUGACAUGAAUGUUGCAGAUUUCUUUGAUGCCGCUAUUGAAAAUGGUGCUGAUGUGAAGCUAGCUGCUAAUUGGAUAAUGGGUGAUAUUGCUGCAUAUUUAAAAAAUGAAAAACUAUCAAUAAAUGAGAUAAAACUAACACCUCAAGAGCUAGCUGAGCUGAUAGCUUCUAUAAAAGGUGGAACUAUUAGCGGAAAGAUUGGUAAAGAGAUACUUUUUGAGCUAAUAGCGAAGGGUGGAACUGUCAAGGCAAUCAUAGAAGAAAAGGAUUUAGUUCAGAUAGUGGAUCCCUCCCUGAUCGAAAAGAUGGUAGAGAAAGUUCUUGCGGAGAAUCCAAAGCAGCUUCAACAAUAUCGCGGAGGCAAAACUAAAUUACAAGGUUUCUUUGCCGGCCAGGUAAUGAAGGAAUCGAAAGGUAAGGCGAAUCCGGCGCUUCUGAACAAGAUCCUUUUAGAGAAACUGAGUGCAAAAAGCUGACCAGCUUCGGAGGUUUUAGUAGCUCCAUGCAUCCAUCAUAUGUUGUCCUGAUAAACGGGUCAUAUUCGAUUCUCCUUCACUAGUCAUUGGUGCAGUGCCCAGAAUGUGGAAUUGGUGCUGGCAUGUUUGGACUUGAGGCUUCUUCCAUGGACACGACAAGCAUCAAAAUGCAUCAGGCUGGUUGUGUUGCAAGUCAGCGUUUUGCCGUGAUCUAAGUGGGCUUUGAUGAUGGCGUCGGGGAUCACGAUAUGGCAGGCCAAAGACCGGCAUGAAUCAUGUGCAGCACUAUGGUAAUGUAGUUCUCCAGGUAGAACUCCACUAGGACUUUGUGAAUGGUGGACCUUUGUAUUUUCUUUCUAGCCAGCAUUUUUUUCUUUUUUUAAUUGGAAUCAUGUGGCACUUUUUUGCA